ensembl:lncRNA
GCUGUGGGACUUGUAGUUAUUUAAACAAAAUACAGAUAUUUUCCACUUCAUUAGGGCUUAGUCAACUAAUCUUUUGUCUUCUCUAGAUUCAUAGGCACACAAUUUACUUGAAAAUGAUACUUUCUCUAAAUUUUAUCUUUCUAGUUAAAAAUAACAAUAAUGUAAUCCAGUUUUCAGUAGUUAUUAGAAUAAACCAAUCUGGGCUGGGCCUGGUGGCUCUUGCCUGUAAUCCCAACACCUUGGGAGGCCGAGGUGGGCAGAUCAUCUGAGGUCAGGAGUAUGAGACCAACCUGGCCAACAUGGUGAAAUUCCAUCUCUACUAAAAAUACAAACAUUAGCUGGGUUUGGUGGCACGGGCUUGUAGUACCAGUUACUCGGGAGGCUGAGGCAGGAGAAUCACUUGAACCCAGGAGGUAGGGGUUGCAGUAAGCCAAGAUCACACCUGGGCAACAGAGUGAGACUCCAUCUCAAAAAAAGAAAAAAAAAAAAAGGAUAAACCUAUCUGAUGAGGCAUCAUGCAGCUACAAACACGUCAAGCAGGAAAGAAAAUUGUUAAGAUUUUAGCAAGUAAACACUAAAAUCUAAAGAUCAGAAAAAUUAAAAGAAUGAAGCAAGCCUUCUUCAUGUGAGUUAAUUGCAUUUUCCCAUCUUAUACCAAUGUACCACAUGGGCCACCAGUCCUCUCUCCCAUCCCAUGCUAGGAGGCACCAUGGAACUGACCAAUGAGAGACACCAGUCAAGGAAUAUGGAGAUGUCAAUUUCAACAUUAUUAUCAGAGCAAAAGAAAACAAGUAAGAAAACUAAUCAGAAUUACAUGUUUCUCUUUGAAGGUUAUUUUCAUGGGAUAUAGCACCAUUUUCUAAAGUCUCUGCAAUUUUACAAGUUCUCUUUGUUUAAAUUUUGCUUUCAAGGGCAGAUUAAUAUAAGCAAGAAACAAGUUAGAAACAGUUACAAAUAUUCAUAGGAAUCUCUUUUAUUGCACAGAAAAGCAAGAUUGGGAGUCUAAUGAAUGUUUCUAGUGCUUUAUCAAAUUAGAUUAUUCAAAUGCUUUCAAUGAUACAGAAAGCACUGUCACCCAAAAGUUGAAAAACAGAGAACUCUCUUUCUCUUCAUCCUGAGCCUCUUUCCUUAAAUAGAAAUAUUUGUACUCACUAGAAAUGUAAGCAAAAAGAAGGUUGUAGAGGUCAAUUUUGUUGUUAGAAAGGGGGUGAGAAAUGAAUGUUUUACUUGGUAACGAUGAAAUAAAGGGAAUAUAGUGUAGGGGAGAAAAAAAACUUUCCUCUACCUCCUUAGGUUUAGUAACUGACAUCCGUAAAUUAAACUGACAAAAUACGAGUUAAUAGGAGAAAAGGUAUAAAAAUGUUAUUGAUCUUAAUAUUUUUAUGUGCACAGGGUCUUCACAGAGAAGAAGUGAAAACCCAAAGAAGGAAUUAAGACUCAAGGUUUAUAUACCAUUUUAGCCAAGGGCAAUAAAUUAUGGAGAAAUGAUGAGACAAAGGAAAAGAGGUUUGGGCUUCUAGGGCCAAUAAAUGUGGAAAAGUGACUAGGAAAUAUAUGGCGGAGACUAGUGGAAGAUAAGGGUUAUUUUAGUAAGGUUUGUUUAUGCAGACUCAGUGCCAGCUGUCUUAUCUUCAGUGAUAAGGGCUGCUCCCCUCAAUCUGGUACAAGAGAUGGGGGACAUUUAUGCCCCACUUUUAGGCAGUAAAAGGGAGGGCAGAGAGUUCUUUUUGUGUUUGCUGUAUCUCAACUGCCUUCAGCUCAAAAUAAUCAAUAUGCCAAAGUGUCAUAUUUAGGGUGGCAUAUUCUGAUACCUUUCUAUACCAUUGAUCUUUCAAUUUAGUAGGCUAGAAAUCUUAAAAUUACUUUAGGUGACAUGCAAAUUAGAUAACCCAUAAAAAUAUGGGUACAUGGCCUCUAAGUAUUUUGAGUGAAAGAUCAUAGGCAGAGACCGAGAAUCCGCCACUGGGAUUUUAUUUCCAUAGUACUAUCCAAGUUAUUGUU